rnacentral:rRNA from 1 species
AGUGAACGCUGGCGGUAGGCCUAACACAUGCAAGUCGAACGGCAGCACAGUAAGAGCCUGCUCUUACGGGUGGCGAGUGGCGGACGGGUGAGGAAUACAUCGGAAGCUACGUUUUCGUGGGGGAUAACGUAGGGAAACUUACGCUAAUACCGCAUACGACCUACGGGUGAAAGCAGGGGAUCUUCGGACCUUGCGCGAGUGAAUGAGCCGAUGUCGGAUUAGCUAGUUGGCGGGGUAAAGGCCCACCAAGGCGACGAUCCGUAGCUGGUCUGAGAGGAUGAUCAGCCACACUGGAACUGAGACACGGUCCAGACUCCUACGGGAGGCAGCAGUGGGGAAUAUUGGACAAUGGGCGAAAGCCUGAUCCAGCCAUACCGCGUGGGUGAAGAAGGCCUUCGGGUUGUAAAGCCCUUUUGUUGGGAAAGAAAAGCAGCAGGUUAAUACCCCGCUGUUCUGACGUUACCCAAAGAAUAAGCACCGGCUAACUUCGUG